rnacentral:rRNA from 3 species
AAAUUGAAGAGUUUGAUCAUGGCUCAGAUUGAACGCUGGCGGCAGGCCUAACACAUGCAAGUCGAACGGUAACAGGAAGCAGCUUGCUGCUUCGCUGACGAGUGGCGGACGGGUGAGUAAUGUCUGGGAAACUGCCUGAUGGAGGGGGAUAACUACUGGAAACGGUGGCUAAUACCGCAUAACGUCGCAAGACCAAAGAGGGGGACCUUCGGGCCUCUUGCCAUCAGAUGUGCCCAGAUGGGAUUAGCUAGUUGGUGAGGUAACGGCUCACCAAGGCGACGAUCCCUAGCUGGUCUGAGAGGAUGACCAGCCACACUGGAACUGAGACACGGUCCAGACUCCUACGGGAGGCAGCAGUGGGGAAUAUUGCACAAUGGGCGCAAGCCUGAUGCAGCCAUGCCGCGUGUAUGAAGAAGGCCUUCGGGUUGUAAAGUACUUUCAGCGGGGAGGAAGGUGUUGUGGUUAAUAACCACAGCAAUUGACGUUACCCGCAGAAGAAGCACCGGCUAACUCCGUGCCAGCAGCCGCGGUAAUACGGAGGGUGCAAGCGUUAAUCGGAAUUACUGGGCGUAAAGCGCACGCAGGCGGUCUGUCAAGUCGGAUGUGAAAUCCCCGGGCUCAACCUGGGAACUGCAUUCGAAACUGGCAGGCUUGAGUCUUGUAGAGGGGGGUAGAAUUCCAGGUGUAGCGGUGAAAUGCGUAGAGAUCUGGAGGAAUACCGGUGGCGAAGGCGGCCCCCUGGACAAAGACUGACGCUCAGGUGCGAAAGCGUGGGGAGCAAACAGGAUUAGAUACCCUGGUAGUCCACGCCGUAAACGAUGUCUACUUGGAGGUUGUGCCCUUGAGGCGUGGCUUCCGGAGCUAACGCGUUAAGUAGACCGCCUGGGGAGUACGGCCGCAAGGUUAAAACUCAAAUGAAUUGACGGGGGCCCGCACAAGCGGUGGAGCAUGUGGUUUAAUUCGAUGCAACGCGAAGAACCUUACCUGGUCUUGACAUCCACAGAACUUUCCAGAGAUGGAUUGGUGCCUUCGGGAACUGUGAGACAGGUGCUGCAUGGCUGUCGUCAGCUCGUGUUGUGAAAUGUUGGGUUAAGUCCCGCAACGAGCGCAACCCUUAUCCUUUGUUGCCAGCGAUUAGGUCGGGAACUCAAAGGAGACUGCCAGUGAUAAACUGGAGGAAGGUGGGGAUGACGUCAAGUCAUCAUGGCCCUUACGACCAGGGCUACACACGUGCUACAAUGGCGCAUACAAAGAGAAGCGACCUCGCGAGAGCAAGCGGACCUCAUAAAGUGCGUCGUAGUCCGGAUUGGAGUCUGCAACUCGACUCCAUGAAGUCGGAAUCGCUAGUAAUCGUGGAUCAGAAUGCCACGGUGAAUACGUUCCCGGGCCUUGUACACACCGCCCGUCACACCAUGGGAGUGGGUUGCAAAAGAAGUAGGUAGCUUAACCUUCGGGAGGGCGCUUACCACUUUGUGAUUCAUGACUGGGGUGAAGUCGUAACAAGGUAACCGUAGGGGAACCUGCGGUUGGAUCACCUCCUUACCUUAAAGAA